rnacentral:lncRNA from 1 species
CUAUUUCCUGAAGUUCUUUCUUCUCUGCAGAUAUUCUUUACAUAAGGGAGGAGGGGGGAGGGGGUGUUUGCCCAACUAAACAGCAAUGGACAACUGGAAUUCUUACCAAUCUAUUGACGACUGGACUGUUCCGCAGUAGUUUUCGUUGGAGAUAGAGAAGUAUAAGAAUGUAUCAAACUGUGUCCCCACCAAGAGUACGAAACUAAAGAUCUAAUGC